GAGAACCUGCAUCCAACCCCACCCAAAGGGUGCUCCAGGUUGGCCAGCUGGGCUGUGCUCGUGGCAGUGUGACCCUGUUGGCCUGGGGGUCCCUGUGCCCGCAGUGCUGGUCCUGCUCUCACUGCAGUGCUCAGCAGAGGGGCAAACACACAGUGCAGAGCUCGGAGUACUCUGCAGCAGGAAUGACAUGCAUUUCCUCUGCUCACCUGGAAAACCUUAUUCCCCUGAUAGACAUCUGCCACAAUGCAGUUCUGCCUGGAUCGUGAACCACAUGUGGAGUUUUAUUGUGCUCUGAAUACCAAUUAUUUCAGGCUUUCCUGUCAACGUGCCACUCAGCCCUACUGCUCUGGGUUUGACUGACACUCGGCGGUCCUCCCCGCUCGUGCUUGGGGCUUCCUCCCGGAAAACGACUGGGAACAUCAGGGUUGCAACUGGAAGGUUGUGUUUCCGACUGAUUUGCAAGGCUUGGGGAGGCGCUGAGAUUUGCAUCGUUCUGCAACAGCCGGGAUCAAAGGUGCAGCUCAGAAACGUGAGGCGUUUUGGAGCAACCUGCAAAGCAGCUGAGGAAGGCGUGGAGCUGGGAGAGCGCAGACAGACAGCGAUAGAAGACUGAAUUGCUCCGUGCGUUGAGCAAUUAAGCCAAGCCGAACGGGGCAGCGUGAACAAAGCGAUGGGGAAAUCACUGAGGCACAAAGCUGAGCUCACUGACCGCGAUGUGGUGAGGGGGCUCAAUAAGGGUCAAUUAAGCUCCCACCGCACCGCCUGGCAGACGGAAUUAAGUGCCAAUUUUCUGCACUGCUGCAGAGGCAGAGCAUUAAAAUGAUAAAUAACAG
ensembl:lncRNA